GCGGGCUGGACCUCUCGGGGUUACAGCCUUGCUGAAUUAUUCACCCUUGUCUUUUGCGUACUUCUUGUUUCCUUGGUGGGUUCGCCCACCACUAGGACAAACAUAAACCUUUUGUAAUUGCAAUCAGCGUCAGUAACAAAUUAAUAAUUACAACUUUCAACAACGGAUCUCUUGGUUCUGGCAUCGAUGAAGAACGCAGCGAAAUGCGAUAAGUAGUGUGAAUUGCAGAAUUCAGUGAAUCAUCGAAUCUUUGAACGCACAUUGCGCCCUUUGGUAUUCCAAAGGGCAUGCCUGUUCGAGCGUCAUUUGUACCCUCAAGCUUUGCUUGGUGUUGGGCGUCUUGUCUCUAGCUUUGCUGGAGACUCGCCUUAAAGUAAUUGGCAGCCGGCCUACUGGUUUCGGAGCGCAGCACAAGUCGCACUCUCUAUCAGCAAAGGUCUAGCAUCCAUUAAGCCUUUUUUUCAACUUUUGACCUCGGAUCAGGUAGGGAUACCCGCUGAACUUAAGCAU
rnacentral:rRNA from 1 species